CCUCUGGUCCCUGCUGAUCCAAAACUGAAGCUUUUUGUCAGGUCACAUCAAAAGCUUCAGUUUUGGAUCAGCAGGGACCAGAGG